GGUGAUUUUCGACUCAUUCCCGUUACAAACAGCCGACCUUCCUACCGAGUUCAAGUACCUUCUGCCUGGCCUGGAAGAACCGUAUCUCUCUGUCACCCUCUUCCUCUGGCCCUCACCUGCCCUCCCCUGAACAUGCAUUUUGCCUGAGAGGAGACAGAGGCGGUUGAGAUGGAGUCUUGCUAUAUGGCCCAGCUGGUAAUGCCUGGAUUCUUGAGUCCCUCCCUGGCUCAUCCCUGGGAGAAGCACCGAACCCCAUGUCUGACACCUGUCCGGAAAUGGAGCCUGCACAUUGACCCUAGGUGCUUGCAGCUUGGUCCAGGACGCCAGCGGGACCAGACAGAAGACCACAGCGACACGUGGGGAUGGCUGUUCCACAGGCAGAAAUGGGCAGCCAGGAGGAAGUCCGGGCAGCCAGCCACCCAGCUCCUUCCACAUCGUGGCCCUAGAACGGAGUCUUGAAGAAUAAGAAGCCACAGCUUGUCAGGGAAUCAGUCUGGAAAAAUGUUAUGAGACCAGAGGUAGGUAGGUUUGGGUACCAGCGAAACAGGGAAGGUGUGGCAGCAGGGAGCAGGGUGCUGGGC